rnacentral:rRNA from 1 species
CCUAGGGUGGCUGCAGUGGGGAAUAUUGGACAAUGGGCGAAAGCCUGAUCCAGCCAUGCCGCGUGUGUGAAGAAGGCCUUCGGGUUGUAAAGCACUUUCAGUGGGGAAGAAAGCCUUGGGGCUAAUACCCUCGAGGAAGGACAUCACCCACAGAAGAAGCACCGGCUAACUCCGUGCCAGCAGCCGCGGUAAUACGGAGGGUGCGAGCGUUAAUCGGAAUUACUGGGCGUAAAGCGCGCGUAGGCGGUCUGAUAAGCCGGUUGUGAAAGCCCCGGGCUCAACCUGGGAACGGCAUCCGGAACUGUCAGGCUAGAGUGCAGGAGAGGAAGGUAGAAUUCCCGGUGUAGCGGUGAAAUGCGUAGAGAUCGGGGGGAAUACCAGUGGCGAAGGCGGCCUUCUGGACUGACACUGACGCUGAGGUGCAAAAGCGUGGGUAGCAAACAGGAUUAGAUACCCUUGUAGUC